CUUUCCUAGAUCACAUUACUACAUACAAUCCAUAUACAUGGCUGGAUAUAUUACUCAACCAAUUUAGGCUCAGUACUUCGCUAUAUAAAAUGGCAGAGUCCCAGCUGGGAUUCAAACGCACAACUUUUUGAGUCACAAGCCUAGUUCCCCCACCUAAAAGGUACAUAAAUGGCUUGCAACUGAACAUGGCUGUGGUUUCUUGUCCCACCCCAAAAUGUACUUCCGUAUUCACACGAUCAGUCUGAGACAAGUAUCUGCUCUUCUCUCUUAUUGCUCACUGCUGUGUUCCUCCUCUUUGAAAUGCGGUCCCAGUUCUACAUCACUCUGCUGCUGGCCUUUGCCAUCCAGCUGGACUAUUUCAUACUGCACGCCGAUGCUGAAGACAUAAAGAAACCAGAGAUUUCUGUGCAGAACAGUGUCAGUGGUGGGGAGGUGGACUUGGCCUGUCAGACAAAGCUGGAACACCUCCCAUCUGGCACUAAUGUCACCUGUAACCUGUACAUUGGAGACUCAUCUGAGCCAUUCAGAAGCACAUGGACCACACAAAAAGACAAAGUCUGUAUUUUUUUAGUGAAGCUGGAUGCCCUGAAGCAAGGUUUGCAGUCUGUGGGGGCGACAGAACUGAGCUGCGAUUACUCUGUCCUCACAGACCCCCGCUCUCCUUCCCCACGCAGUGACAAAAUAAAAAUAGAAGGUAAACUGCCAAAGGCAGAGUUACAUUUGAGUCCUGCAGUAAUUUCCAUAAAGGACUCCAUGAAUCUGAGGUGCAGCAGACCGGACUCUUCCCUUGCAUCCCACUGCACUUUCAUCAUUAAUCAGAGAGGACCGAUCAGUGGCUCAGACUGUCAGCGCUCAGUCACUGGAGCUGAGCUUCUCAAUGGGAGUCACAAUGCAAGGAAUGAGAUUACCGUGAGAUGUUUCUGCAGGCUGGAGGGAGGACCAGCUCUUCACAGUGACCCUUUGAAAGUAACUGUGCUGGAUCUGAGGAAGCCCAAUAUCUCAGUCUCCACAGAACACACUGAGACACACAUUCGCUGUGAAGCACCACCUGACAUCACUGGAGCUAUUUUCUUCCUGUACUCCAACAGGAGUAGCACACAUUCUAAGAGCACCCAGGCUGGAGCAGAAGAGCGAGCUGUCAGUUUCACUGUCCCCCGCAGCUCUGACUCCACUCUGACAUACUGCUGUAGUUAUCAGUUUAAGGGCAUCAACUCUAAACUGAGUGACUGUGCUGAAGCUAAGAACAAGGACCAGAGUGGAAGAACAAAGGACCAAAGUAAACUGCCAAAGGCAGAGUUACAGUUGACUCCUGCAGUAAUUUCCAUAGAGGAAUCAGUGAAUCUGAGGUGCAGAAGACCGGACUCUUCCCUUGCAUCCCACUGCACUUUCACCAUUAAUCAUAGAGGACCGAUCAAUGGCUCAGACUGUGAGCGCAAAGUCACUGGAGCUGAGCUGCUCAGUGGGAGUCACAGUGCACGCAAUGAGAUCAUCAUGACAUGUUCCUACAAACUGGAGGAAGGAGUGAAACCUGCUCGUCAUAGUGACCCCUCGUCAGUGACUGUGCUGGAUCUGAGGAAGCCCAAUAUCUCAGUAUUCACAGAACACACUGAGACACACAUUUGCUGUGAAGCCCCACCUGACAUCACUGGAGCUAUUUUCGUCCUGUACUCCAACAGGAGUAGAACACAUUCUAAGGGCACCCAGGCUGGAACAGAAGAGCGAGCUGUCAGUUUCACUGUCCCCCGCAGCUCUGACUCCACUCUGACAUACUGCUGCCGUUAUCAGUUUAAGGGCAUCAACUCUAGACCGAGUGACUGUGUUGAAGCUAAGAACAAGGACCAGAGUGGAAGAACAAAGGACCAAACAUCCACCACCACAGACAACCCACAGACAGGUAAACUGCCAAAGGCAGAGUUACAUUUGAGUCCUGCAGUAAUUUCCAUAAAGGACUUCAUGAAUCUGAGGUGCAGCAGACCGGACUCUUCCCCUGCAUCCCACUGCACUUUCACCACUAAUCAGAGAAGAGAGAUCAGUGGCUCAGACUGUAAUCGCUCAGUCACUGGAGCUGAGCUGCUCAGUGGGAGUCACAGCGCACGCAAUGAGAUCAUCAUGAGAUGUUUCUACAGACUGGAGGAAGGAGUGAAACCUGAUCUUCAUAGUAACCCCUCCACAGUGACUGUGCUGGAUCUGAGGAAGCCCAAUAUCUCAGUCUCCACAGAACACACUGAGACACACAUUCGCUGUGAAGCCCCACCUGACAUCACUGGAGCUAUUUUCUUCCUGUACUUCCACAGGAGUAGCACACAUACUAAGGAAACCCAGGCUGUAACAGAAGAGCGAGCAGUCAGUUUCACUGUCCCCCGCAGCUCUGACUCCACUCUGACAUACUGCUGUAGUUAUCAGUUUAAUACCACCAACUCUAAACUGAGUGACUGUGCUGAAGCUAAGAACAAGGACCAGAGUGGAAGAACAAAGGACCAAAGUAAACUGCCAAAGGCAGAGUUACAUUUGAGUCCUGCAGUAAUUUCCAUAAAGGACUCCAUGAAUCUGAGGUGCAGAAGACCUGACUCUGCCCCUGCAUCCCACUGCACUUUCACCAUUAAUCAGAGAGGACCGAUCAGUGGCUCGGACUGUAAUCGCUCAGUCACUGGAGCUGAGCUGCUCAGUGGGAGUACCAGCGCACACAAUGAGAUCACCAUGAGAUGUUUCUACAGGCUGGGGGAAGGAGUGAAACCACUUGUCGAUAGUGACCCCUCUACAGUAAUUGUGCUGGAUCUGAAGAAGCCCAAUAUAUCAGUCUCCACAGAACACACUGAAACACACAUUCGCUGUGAAGCACCACCUGACAUCACUGGAGCAAAAUUCUUCCUGUACUACAACAGGAGUGGAACACAUACUAAGGAAACCCAGGCUGGGACAGAAGAGCGAGCAGUCAGUUUCACUCUCCCCCGCAGCUCUGACUCUACUCUGACAUACUGCUGUCAGUAUCAGUUUAAUACCACCAAAUCUAAUCUGAGUGACUGUGCUGAAGCUAAGAACAAGGACCAGAGUGGAAGAACAAAGGACCAAAGUACUGUACUCUUCUUUUCUCUCUGCAGUUUAUAAUCCACACAUGCACAGUUAAUUCUCAACUUAAAAGACAAGUGCUUGUUGUAUUGUUGUCCUUUGUCAUUAUAACUGGAGGUUAUGCAUUGACAUUGCCUACAGAGGAUUUAUUAAUUGAUUUAUUCAUCCAUUUAUUUACUCAUAUUUAUUCAGUCAUUAUUGAUAUUCAAAAGUCCUCCUCUGAUUUUCUAUUAUACGGCUGGAAACCCAUUGCACUUGCCAUGUCCCAUAAAUGAGAUGCCAGGUUAUAGUUUUAGAACUAGAUAGAAUGAGUGGAGUUAAGUCUGUUUACUAUAAGAAGCUGCCCUGCGGCUCUGACCCCUGUGGACAAAUUAUCCCCUAAGUGAAAAUAUAUUAUUUAAAAUAUAACCUAAUUUCAUUAAUGUUCAUGUUCUUUCUGCCAACUCGCUCUUUUUCUCCCCCUUCUUCCCCGGUCUCACCGUCCCAGCUGUCAUUGGUUUACCAUCAGGUAACCUUUUCCUACUGCCACCAACAAUAACACUCUCACUCACGCCACACAGAGACAACAUGAAACGAAAUAGAAAAGAAACAACUCUGAGUGGUCGACAGGCCACACCAUGCGAUGCCACUGGAGAGUUUUCCUCCCCCCACUUUUAUCCUCAUUCAGGUGCACCCCAUUCCCUCAUUAACCAACUCCUUCCACCUAAUCAACCUUGCAGCACGGUUCCUGGCUCACAGACUACUGACAUUGUCAUUGGCUUGCAAUGGACUAGGAGCUGAAGUCCAUGUAUAACAAUGAGGUUCCAUUUUGAAAAACUGGCAAAGAUAAUUUCACAGCAGAGUUGCAUGAUAUGUCCACUUUGUAUUCUGUCAAUAAUUUAUUUAUAUGUUUUACUUGUUGAACUGUGUUAGACCAGGCCGUGAGGAUUCUUUUGUCUCAAUGAAGCACUGUGGUUAAUUGCAUAAAAACUGAGUGACUGUGCUGAAGCUAAGAACAAGGACCAGAGUGGAAGAACAAAGUACUGUACUCUUCUGUACUCUAUGCGGUUUAUGAAUUCUCAACUUAUAAGACCAGUGUUUAUUGUAUUUUGCUCCUCGGUCAUUAUAAUUGGAUGUUAUGCAUCAACUACAUAAGAUUUAUUAAUUGUGCAAAAGUCCUUUGAUUUUCUGUUGUACAGGUGUCCACUGUAGGAGUCCUUCUAUCUCAAUGAAGCACUCAGGUCAAGUAGUUUAAAUAUAAAAUUCCAUACCAGAGUUUAUUUAUUAGAUUAAACCAUUAACACUGGAGGGGUAUCCAAGCAAAAUUUGCUCUCAGCAUUGAUCCACACUUGUAAUGUGAGUGUUAGUUCAUUUCUUGUCUGUAUGGGGUGAGGUCAAGCGAAACUGCUCGAAGUGGUGGUCAACAUGAGUUACCACAUCCGGCUCCAUUAGCGUUAGCUGCAUAGCUGGGAGCACAGUGCGAGCAAUGAGCUGGAGGCUGUACAGACACACAGGAUACACCCCUCAGGACAGAGGUGCACGAGGGGAGCCGAUAUCGCUUCACUGUGACCGGGAGGGAGCUGAUCCCGGGAACUGAUCUGCCUCCCUCUGAGUCUCAGUGUUAUUUCUACACAGAGGGGAUACAGCUGACUGAGACUCUUUCAGUCUGAGAACGGUUUGUCACUGGGUCUGAGCGCUCAGGGGAAGGGGUCAGUGCAGAAAUCAAGAUUAGAAUGAGCUGCCAGUAUAUUGAGAACGUACAAUGUACAAUGUCAAGUUCCUGUACAGUGAAGAUUCUAUGGUAACCGUGCUUCAUAUAUCAAUAUUACUCUGUUACUUCUUCAUAGGCUUUUCCUUCCUUUUUUCUUUCACUAAUGAAACACUUCUAAUGAAGACAGAAAGUACAAACAUUGUGUGUGGUCCAGAUUGUAAUUGUCAGUAUUGUUUGCUGAUCUAUUCCUUGCCUUUUCUUUCCGUUCUCGGAGUCAGCCAGGUUUCUGUGGCGACACAUCCUCAGUGUUCUGGUCCUCUUGGCUGCUAUUGGAAUACUCAUAGAAUACUUCAUCUCCCACACACCAACCACAGGCAGGAAGAGGAGAGGGAGUGAGAACACCGGACAGUUUGUGGAGACAUUGUGCUGAGACAUGAGAGAGAUGCGCCUGUUUACCUCUACAAAUAUAUAGUGCGCAUACACAAUAAAUAAAAAUAUACAUAAAACCACACAUAAAUACAGAACAUGUAUAUUUAUAAACAAACAUAACAUAGAUACAUAGUCACAAAGUGACAUACUGUUUUAACUUAAAAUAAAGAGUGCUCUUAAAUAUUUA